rnacentral:rRNA from 1 species
UACGGGGGGGGUAAGCGUUGUUCGGAAUUACUGGGCGUAAAGGGCUCGUAGGCGGCCAACUAAGUCGGACGUGAAAUCCCUCAGCUUAACUGAGGAACUGCGUCCGAUACUGGAUGGCUUGGAUUCGGGAGAGGAAUGCGGAAUUCCAGGUGUAGCGGUGAAAUGCGUAGAUAUCUGGAGGAACACCGGUGGCGAAGGCGGCAUUCUGGACCGACAUUGACGCUGAGGAGCGAAAGCCAGGGGAGCAAACGGG